rnacentral:lncRNA from 1 species
AUUAGGACUCUAGCUAGGAGAGUCCUAAUUGAGAGGGACAUUCAUGUAAAACUGUUAGGACUUUAGCUAGGAGAGUCCUAAUUGAGAGGGACAUUCUGUUAGGACUCUAGCUAGGAGAGUCCUAAUUGAGAGGGACAUUCUGUUAAGACUCUAGUUAGGAGAGUCCUAAUUGAGAGGGACAUUCAUGUAGGAGAUUUUUUCUUAGAGAAGAAUUAGGAGUUGUAAG